GAUGAACGCUAGCUACAGGCUUAACACAUGCAAGUCGAGGGACCGGCGCACGGGUGAGUAACACGUAUACAACCUGCCCUUUACUCGGGGAUAGCCUUUCGACAGAAAGAUUAAUACCCGAUGUAAGGGAUGGGGAUGCGUUCCAUUAUGUUGUUGGUGAGGUACAGGCUGACCAAGCCUUCGAUGGAUAGGGGGUCUGAGAGCAAGGUCCCUCACAUUGGAACAGAGACACGAUCCAAACUCCGACGAGCGGUAGCAGUGAGGAAGAGUGGUCAAUGGGCGUGAGCCUGAACCAGCCAAGUAGUGAGAACGAUGAAGGCUUAUGAAGCGUAAACUUCUUUGAUAUAAGGAUAGGUAUCAUAUGAAUAAGGAUCGGCUAACUACGUGCCAGCAGCCGCGGUAAUAC
rnacentral:rRNA from 1 species